GACGUAGGGCGUGAGCGUUGUCCGGAAUUAUUGGGCGUAAAGAGCUCGUAGGCGGUUUGUCGCGUCGUCUGUGAAAACCCACGGCUCAACUGUGGGCUUGCAGUCGAUACGGGCAGGCUAGAGUUCGGUAGGGGAGACUGGAAUUCCUGGUGUAGCGGUGAAAUGCGCAGAUAUCAGGAGGAACACCGGUGGCGAAGGCGGGUCUCUGGGCCGAUACUGACGCUGAGGAGCGAAAGCGUGGGGAGCGAACAGG
rnacentral:rRNA from 1 species